rnacentral:lncRNA from 1 species
AUGAAAUUAGGGUAGCCAAAACCCACGGCUCAUCACAUCCCAUCUCCCGCUUUACGUCUCUCCCAGGCUCAUCUCGUCUCUGUCUCUCAAAAUACUGGGCAUUGCUCCGUGGUAGGUUGUAUAAGAUUUAACUCUUUUAGAAUUUUUUCUUCUCCAUUAUUUUUAUUGCUUCCAUUGUUGCUAUUUUCCAGAAAGUUGUAUUGGGGAUUUCAAUAGAUUGCAUUUGGCUGAAAUUUUUGCGAGUUUUGUGCUGGAGGGAAGAAGACUUAAACUUGGGCAUUGGGCAAACUUAUAUUUAGGUAAAUCAUAAUCCGUUGUAAUUCAUAUUUUCGUUAAUAAUUAGUAUCCUAUUUUGAUUUUAAGUUAGGAUUACUAGGUUAUGUUGUAGUUGUAGUGGAAGAUCAGGUUUUUAUAUUUGAGACUAACCUUCAAUGUUGGAACUUUUAAUUAGUAAAUGGCAAAAUACAACCUUUGAAUCAGUGAGUUUGCAUUUAUAGUGGAUGAUAAGGUUUUUAGGAGAAUUACUUCAUUUUAUUGAAUAUUUCUUGUUUUUGCUAUUUAAUGAUCUGGAAAAAUUUUUAUGUGGGUAAUAAUUGGGGAAAAAGAAGAAUUAGAUCAACCAAAUAUAGGGAGAAGAAACAACAAUGGAAGAAAGAAAUCGGCAAAACCAAAAAUAGAGGAAGAAGAAGGCAAUGAACUUAACUGAUUUUAACUUAAAAAAUGGUGUCGUGACAACUUAUCAAAACGGUGUCAUUUUACUUUGAUUAAUUGUAAUCAACUAUAAAUAUUUUUUACAUUUUAUCAGUUGAAAACAAGCUUCUUACUGGUAGUAAAUAUAACUCCACGUGCGAAGGAGAAGUCAGUUUUUGUAUAAUCUAAUCAUUUCGGUAAAAUUUGUUUAUGCUUUCAACAGAAUUUCUCUCCCCUUUCUUCUUUUUUUUUUUUUUUUUAAUCCCUUCCUCAUUCUAUUUUGUCUUUAGUUUGUAGAAACAUAGCAGCUAACCCAGCUGAUUUCACUUCGUCCUUGAGCUACAAUUGAGAGAGGUUACAGGUGAAGCUUGGGUUUGGCCUUAAGCUGUGACAAAUUUUUAUUAGUUUAGUUCCAGAUUUACUAAGGUUUCUUAUGUUGUUUACUCAUGUAAGUGAAUCAAGUUUUUAUGCUAAUGAUAUAUACAUUUAAAUGAUCCAUUUCUUUGUAAAAUUUGGAAUCAAUUGCUGCUAUUUUUAUGCUGAACUAUUAGGAUUCAAAUAAUUGAGAUUCUUGAUUGGAAAGUGUUAAUUUGAUUUUUUUAGAAAGUUGUUAAAUAUGUAAUCGUCAAUUAAGAAUGUAAUUAUGAUUGAUCAUUGCUUAUUAAUGGAAAUUGUGAAUUGAAAUAGUUGACUUUUAAUUUGAAUUGAAAUUGGUUGUUGCUAAAUUGCUUGUUUACUUGUCUAAAUGAUUAAAUAAAUGAAACUGAUUUCAAUCAUUUAUUUCUAGAAAGGGAGUUAAUUGGAUUCAUUUUGCAGGUUUAAUAUUCGAACCAUGUAAUAAUUCAUGAAAAAUAUGCAAUUAUAAUUCUAUGAAUUGUUGUUGAACAUUAUGGCAUCGGACCGUAGUUGGAUGUUGAAUAGGUCAGAUGAUGGAUUUCUUUCUGAUAGAUUCAUUGGAGGUGUUGAAAAGUUCAUUGAAUUUGCCAUGUCUCGAACAAGAGAUGGAGAUAUGAUCAAAUGUCCAUGUUCUAUAUGUAAAAACACAAGGUUUCUCAUAGGAGAUGAUGUGAAAUUUCAUCUUUACAAAAAUGGAUUUACAAGGGGCUAUACACAGUGGAACGCGCAAGGAAAACCAUUCAGUUUCAAUGGUCCAAAUUUGGUUGAAUCCUCAACUGCACAAGCUACAACCAUUGAGAGCCAUGGAGCAAUGGUGUUAGACGUGAUGGGCACUGAAAUGUACCAUGAUUACAUCAAUCCUAAUAUUUGUGGUCAUGAGGAACAAACCCCAAAUCAACAUGCCGCAAAUUUCUUUACACUAUUGGAAGAAGCUAACAAACCUAUAUGGCCUGUUUGUAGUAGGCACACAAACCUUUCUAUUAUGGCACGACUCUUGAAUCUGAAGUCUGAGUUUAAUAUGCCGACAGCAUGUUAUGAUCGUAUGCUGUCUAUAAUUAAAGAAAUUAUGCCAGAAGAUGAUCGCUUAGAAGCUACGUUCUAUAAAACAAAGAAAAUGUUAUCCAGUCUUGGCCUUGGUAUUAUGAAGAUCCAUACAUGUGUGAAUGAUUGCAUGUUGUACUACAAAGAAAUCGAGAGCAUGACUCAGAGUCCUACGUGUUUUAGUCCACGAUACAAAGAGAAGAUGUCUCAAUCUGGACAUAGGGUACCUCAAAAGGUACUUCGAUAUCUACCUCUAACUUCUAGGCUUCAGUAAUUGUAUAUGUCAAGACAAACUGUAGAGCACAUGUUAUGACAUUCGAAGAAUCAAUUCACUGAUAAUGAAAUGUCACACCCCGUACAUAGUGAGGCAUGUAAGUACUUUGAUAGAACUUUUCCUCAAUUUUUCCUUGAACCACGUAGUGUGCGCGUCAGUUUAUGUAUGGAUGGUUUCAACCCCUUUAGCAUGUCAAAUGUGUAAUACACUUGUUGGCCAGUAAUCAUUGUUGUCUAUAAUCUUUCGCUAUAACAAGACAACUUGUUUUUUAGUAUGGUUAUCCCAAGACUCUUGAAUCCUGGGAAAAACCUCGAUGGUUUUUUUGUGUCCUCUCAUUGAUGAACUAAAAAUGCUUUGGGAUAAAGGUGUUUACACGUAUGAUAUAUGAUAAGUGUAUUUUUGCACACUUAUUUAGGUUACAAACAUGAUUUAAUUACGAGCAAAAUGAUUGAAUUGUGACUUAAUUUCGUUACAUUUGUGAAUUGUAGGGAACACCGAUGAAUAUGGUGAAAUUCAUGAGAAAAGACGCAAAAAAGGACUAAAAUGACACAAAGUGAAAGUUCAAGAACCAAGGUGCAAUUACCCAAAAGUUGACCCGAUGAACAAAUCAAGGAAUUGGUUGAACUAAAUGCCAAUUGAUGAUGCCUUGGGAUGAUGGAAUGGAAAGAGUGAAGAAAAGAGGCCUAGAAGUGAAAGAUUCAAGUAAAUUAAAGAGAAUAGAAAUCGGAGUCUACCAUGUAGCCGCAUGGUAAAACUCUCGUGCGGUCGCACGAAUGAAUGCAGGAAACUUUUAUCAAAACAUGGAAUAACCAUGCAGCCGCACGGAUUAAAACCAUGCGGUUGCAUGGUAGUCUUUCCGAUACGAAAUUUUCUUUCCUUAUAUGAUUAAAACUCCUUUGGUAACCUAAUAUUUACAGGAUAUAAAUAUCAAAAAUGGUCCAAAAAUGACCAGAACGCAUUGGGGGGGGCAGAAAAACACUUCUUGAAGAGGAUUUGGAGCGCAAGAAUGAAAAUUGGCUAUUAGAAUUUCAAGAUUUCUUCAAGUUUUUAUAAUCCGGUGAUGCUUAUUACUCAAAACUUGAUGUAUUUUGUUAUUUUAAUCAUGCUAGGCUAGAUUUUCAUGUGCUAGGAGAUCGAUGAACCAUGUAAUUUGAAUUUUAAUAUCCUAGUUUUGUAAUUUGAUAUUAAGACACAUUUUUAUUGUUUUGAAUGAUUUAUAUACAAUUAAUGUUUCAUCAACUAAGGGCUCGUAAUUGUGUGAAUUUGGGUGAUUUAUUCUUGCAUUCGAG